UACGGAGGGUGCAAGCGUUGUCCGGAAUCACUGGGCGUAAAGGGCGCGUAGGCGGCUCAUGAAGGCUGUGGUGAAAGUCCGGGGCUCAACCUCGGAUCGGCCGUGGCGACUCGUGGGCUGGAGCACUGUAGAGGCGGGUGGAAUUCCGGGUGUAGCGGUGGAAUGCGUAGAGAUCCGGAAGAACACCAGUGGCGAAGGCGGCCCGCUGGGGUCGAACUGACGCUGAGGCGCGACAGCGUGGGGAGCAAACAGG
rnacentral:rRNA from 1 species